UCCUGGGAAACACAAGGGCAGUGUAGACGGAGGCGUGGCUGGGCAGAACACAGCAGAGGGCGCUGGGGAAGGGAAUGUCAGAUCUGUUGAGCGCCUUAAACCAGGUGCUUUGUUCGCCUUUUCUCAUGCAAAUUUCCCAGUCUUCCUUGGAGGAAGUUGUUAUUCCCACCAUUUUAUAAAUGAGUGAGCUGCAGCCCAGAGAGGGUUCUAUGGAGCAAAGGAUCAAUGUGUCAGAUGACACAGGACUUGAAAUUGCGCACAAAGAGGCGAGGGCUCCGCAUUAUGUUAGGUCAGAGAUGUGCUGCGUAGAAGGAGAAGCUGGAUCUUGUAAUCUCUUCAUACUCCGCAGAGUAGAAAACUGAGAUUCUUU